UUUAAUUUGAGAGUUUGAUCCUGGCUCAGGACGAACGCUGGCGGCGUGCCUAACACAUGCAAGUCGAACGAG
rnacentral:rRNA from 1 species